GGCACAAUGGGCCAAUUUGUCUAGCUGUUAACUAGGAGGUUGGUGGUUCAAGCCCACCCAGGGACA